UUUUUCAUGAACAAAUAUAUGAUAUGUCACCUAUAGCAGUGUAGGUAGGUUCUUAGCCAAUUGCAAUCGAGAUUGCAUAAUAUGCAUAAUAAUAGUAUUUCCCAUGACUUCUGAUUGGGAAAAGCCAAAGGUCAUUUCUCACUGGAUCACUGGGGAAAGCCGAAAUCAUUUCUGAGUAGGAAAAGCUGAAAAUAUGUCGAAGCGCAGGCGUAACAAUUGUCAAUCGGUUGACGAUUUGCGAAAAGAUGUCAACGAGGAACUACAUCAAGAAUAUGUGGGGUCGAGGAUAUUAAGUGAUAUCCAAUCUAUUAAUUUGAAAGUCUGCAAUGAUCUAAAUGUUGAUGUAAUUCUGUUUGUUCUUGUUUUGAAAUAUGGGUUGUCACUUGUGUGCUCUAUUGCCAAUGUUGCGUCUUCCUUGCUUGUACUCCCCGUGAAUGUACAUAAAGAAGUGUUGGCUUUGGUAUGUCCCAAUUUAGAAGAAGAAGAUGGAAAUGUUCUUUUACAGUCCGCUUCUAAAUUAAAAGUUCCUAGUACAACCGAUAUGAAGUUGCAUGUAUUUACACCUCCAUGCUCCAAAUGUAUUAAGUGCAACCAUGAUCUUGUGAGCUACAAUAAGCCAGUAAAAGUUCAGGUACACGAUCUUUCUGGAACUACCGAUGGAGUGAAAGUUUCGCUUAGAUGCAAUCGCUGUAAUUUGCUUUAUGGAUAUUCCAAGUACGGUAAUGGGAAAGAUGGCUGGAUGUUAUAUCCCGAACAAAGAAAAAUGAUCGAGGCUACGGAUGUCUGUUUUGUUGAUUCAACUUUGCUUCAGUGGCAGCUGUCACUCGCUUGUCAUUCGUGGGUAUCAUUUAACGGUUUUUCUGAAGCGUUUAAUGAAGUAUACAAUGGCAAUUUUGGAGAGAAACAAGUUGCUGCUUCAUUUUGGGUCGGGGAGAUGGAGAAUGAGUGGAGGGAAUUGGGGCAACUGGACUUAUUUGGUUUGCUUAAAGAAGAUGGGGACUCUUCUAGGGUUCUAGAACAAAUAGACAAAAUUAGGGCGAGAAGUUUGUACGAGCAUACAUCAGACGAUUGUUCUGAUUCUUGCAAAGAGCGUGGUAAGUUAGAUGCAAUUGUAUUUUAAAAUUAAUUUAAAAGCUAUAAAUGUAUUCUAUUGGAAAAUAGCUGUGAUUCUCAUCAGGCUAAGAUAUUUUCGUAAUCAAACUUAUAGGAUGUGGAAGGCUAUGGGUUGCCGAUGGAAUAUGGAAAUUAAUGUUUCCUCAUUGCAUGAUGCGUAGAAAGAAUUUUGUAAAAGGUAUUCCAUUGCUGAACUAUCCCAAUGUAUGCACUGAGUCGCCUCAGCAUGGAAAGGCAUUCUGCGAACAGCAUGUGCAAUAUUUGGAAAAAAACUUCCCUAAUGUACCCACUAGUGUGCGUGGAUUUUUAAGAUAUUGUGGUGUGAAGCCAAGUAACAUAGGUGAAGAAUUGAUUGACGACACAGGUCUGCUUUCUAACAAUGACGUGUCAAAAAUGGACGAAACACUGGGAAAGCUUGAUAAAGAUGACGACACUUUUCCAGUAGGAAAUAGUGUUGUGGAGUCACAAGGCAAUGCUGAGUUCGUUAAUAAUGAGCCAGAUGCAAUUAAAGCUAUUUUAAGAGAUUGUGUUGAACCAACAAAAACAAAAUGCAAUAAGGAAACUGGGGGAAAACAAAGACUUCAAAAGUGGUCAAGAGGGCAUUUGUUUAUAGUUAGAGGAGGAGGAAUAAUCGAUAAAUGGAGUCCUCUUUAUAGAUCUGAAAGCCCUUCUCAAGUGUUUUUGAUAACUCUUUCUUGGCUGCGCAUUAUGUUAAAGGAAAUCAACCCAAUGAAUUCGAGUUCCGUUUUUUUUUCAUAUGACAACAUGUGCCACCUAGAUGGCUUACAAGCAGCGAAAAAAGGUUUUGCCAUGGUCUCAACCAUGGGAUAAAGCAUGGCUGUCAAUUCGUAAAAUAAUUGAUAGCCUUCAUAUCAAAAAUCACAAAGACGAGAAAUGCCUGGAGAAAUACAAUCCUUUGCCUUUAAAAACUGAAAUCCCAAAUGGAAAUACAAUGGCUGCUGAACAGACUUUCGUCUGGCUUUCCAGGUUUAAGAAGAUUCUGUGUGCUAUGCCCAAAGUGCAUCAUUUGUUUUAUUUACAUAGAAUGGUAAAGCACAGAAACAAAUAUACUGUUAGAUGCUAUAAGACUGGUAAAAAACCUCUUUUACCAGUCGUUCGUAAGACGGAAAGCUAAUUCAUUCCCUUUUUAUUUACGCAUCUGUAAUUGGAGAUGAGCAAUUAUAUAUGCAUGGUCGAUUAUCUACAACAAA